AGUGAACGCUGGCGGUAGGCCUAACACAUGCAAGUCGAACGGCAGCACAGGAGAGCUUGCUCUCUGGGUGGCGAGUGGCGGACGGGUGAGGAAUACAUCGGAAUCUACUCUGUCGUGGGGGAUAACGUAGGGAAACUUACGCUAAUAGCGCAUACGACCUACGGGUGAAAGCAGGGGACAUUCGGGGCUUGCGCGAGUGAAUGAGCCGAUGUCGGAUUAGCUAGUUGGCGGGGUAAAGGCCCACCAAGGCGACGAUCCGUAGCUGGUCUGAGAGGAUGAUCAGCCACACUGGAACUGAGACACGGUCCAGACUCCUACGGGAGGCAGCAGUGGGGAAUAUUGGACAAUGGGCGCAAGCCUGAUCCAGCCAUACCGCGUGGGUGAAGAAGGCCUUCGGGUUGUAAAGCCCUUUUGUUGGGAAAGAAAUCCAGCUGGCUAAUACCUGGUUGGGAUGACGGUACCCAAAGAAUAAGCACCGGCUAACUUCGUGCCAGCAGCCGCCGUAA
rnacentral:rRNA from 1 species